UGGGAAGUGCUGACGUGUGCGCGUGUGCGGUGUGUUGCUUGUGGGUGCGUGUGUGGUGUGUGCAUGUGUGUGCGCGCGCGUGUGUGCGGGGUGUGCCGUGAGCGUGUGCCCGCGGUUCGGGGGAUGAGUAGGGGCGCUGACUUUUAGGACCAGCCAUUUGAGCCAAGCUGGAGGCGACGUCUUAGAACCUAGGAUGAGUCUCGUUUGGUUUUAGUCUGCAAAGCUCGUCUGCAUCAGACAGGAAUUUUCCCCAGACGCGGGUGCACGUGAAUUAAUUCAUCAGAAGGCGGUUCACGGCCUGAGUGAGGGGGACGAGGGCGGCGAAUUCCUCCGCCUCAUUCCUACCCUGACGAUUCGAGGUGGGUGAGAGGAAGGCGUGGGGCGGCUGGGUGUGUGGGGUGGGGGAAGGUCACCUCUUCGGCCUCUCUGGGCCCUCCAGCCUCUUCCUGAGAGGAGCUCGCCUCGGCCCCUUGGUUGGGGGGAUGGGAGCGUCUCCGGAAGGCCCUCGGCCGAGCAGCUGGGCCUGCACCCCUGGUCCCUUCCAGUUCGUUUCUGCUGCGGCGGCAGGAGGCUGGGGAGCCGAUGACUCACCCUGCCGGCUAAUUGCAGCGUUAAAUAACUUUGCGCCGGAUUCGGUGGCUGCAGCAGGGAACGCGCUCCGGGCGCCGGGGGAGGUGGAGGGACGCCCUGAGAACGCACCUCCGUCCCUGUCACCAGCCUUAGCAAGUUCUGGCCUGUGGAGCCGUCACCCAGAGCGCACAGCUUCAUGCCCUUGAAGGGCGCAGUGUGUCCCGUGGUGCCCGGUGGGCCCGGACAGAGACCCCAGAGGCUCUGUCUGAAGGAAGCUGCACCCACAGACUCCAUCCAGGCAGCGCGGGCGCGGGCCCGUCGCCCACCUUUCUCGGAAGCCAUCUGCCCAUGUGAAUCUAUGUGAAGGCCCUUCAUGCGCUCCUGGACAUCUGCGUGGGAUUUACUUCAACUGCUAUCGCUGCGAGGAGGACGAGCAUGUUUCACUGUAUUUUUAGCAGAGAGUGCAGAUUUUAGAACCUCGCGAACGGUCCUGUAUCUCCUGCACGAUGACUCUCCAGAACAGGAAUAGUGACCCUUCCUUUGCAUUUAUGGUGCAUAGGUUUUCAAAGGACAGUGUGUAAAUCAGCUUGUGUAAUAAUUGUGGCACCCACGCGCGCAAGCAGACUUACCAUGAGCUGACUUCCACUGAUUAUUUCAGUUUCCAGGGAAACGAGGUUUGCAGCCCCCUCCAGUGAGGGCGGAGCGGCCUCUCCAUUCCCAAUGCAGCAAGGCUGCUGCAGCCACGAUGAUUAGGCUUUGGAGGAGGAAGUGAACGGAUGGGGCCUCAUCCUCCUCCCUCCCUAAAGGGUGAGGGUGGAAGGAUGGGGCUGUGCCCUCUUAGGGCAGGGAAAAACAGCUUGGAGGGGUUUCUGCCAUCAGAGAUCCCAUAGGAGGCAGGUCAGUCCUGCAGAAUUUCUCCCCAGUCUGGCCUCCAGCCUCCCUGGCCCCUUUCUAGAGGCCUCCAUCCCACUGGCGGCUUGCUCCUGCCACCGGGCCUUUGCACAGUCACCUCUUGCAGCCUGGGGUGUGUCGCCUCUCCACGUCCUCACCGGCGUCUGCCUUUGCAUUUCCCAGAUGCUCGCUUCACCCCACUGAGGAGUAACUCAGUUUUGUGGGAUCCCACUGCCCUCCAGGUGCCGCUCCGAGUGCUCUACACAGAUUUUCAUUCAGUCCUUGCGGCACACGAAGAGUGGCUAUAUCAUUUUGCAUUCCCAGACCGAAGUGUGAAAGCUCCAGAUGCCCCAUGCCCUCACCAGCCCACGGUGUUGUCAGCCUUAAUAGUGCUGACCAUUCUGGUGGGUUUGCAGUGUAUCUCAUUGUGUUUUAAUUUGCAUUACCUUGACAACUAAUGGCGUUGAGACUUUCAUAUAUCUUUAGUAAAGAGUCCUUC
rnacentral:lncRNA from 1 species